rnacentral:rRNA from 1 species
AGACCCGAAACCAGGUGAUCUACCCUUGGUCAGGUUGAAGUUCAGGUAACACUGAAUGGAGGACCGAACCGACUUACGUUGAAAAGUGAGCGGAUGAACUGAGGGUAGCGGAGAAAUUCCAAUCGAACCUGGAGAUAGCUGGUUCUCUCCGAAAUAGCUUUAGGGCUAGCCUCAAGUGAUGAUUAUUGGAGGUAGAGCACUGUUUGGACGAGGGGCCCCUCUCGGGUUACCGAAUUCAGACAAACUCCGAAUGCCAAUUAAUUUAACUUGGGAGUCAGAACAUGGGUGAUAAGGUCCGUGUUCGAAAGGGAAACAGCCCAGACCACCAGCUAAGGUCCCAAAAUAUAUGUUAAGUGGAAAAGGAUGUGGCGUUGCCCAGACAACUAGGAUGUUGGCUUAGAAGCAGCCAUCAUUUAAAGAGUGCGUAAUAGCUCACUAGUCGAGUGACACUGCGCCGAAAAUGUACCGGGGCUAAACAUAUUACCGAAGCUGUGGAUUGUCCUUUGGACAAUGGUAGGAGAGCGUUCUAAGGGCGUUGAAGCAUGAUCGUAAGGACAUGUGGAGCGCUUAGAAGUGAGAAUGCCGGUGUGAGUAGCGAAAGACGGGUGAGAAUCCCGUCCACCGAUUGACUAAGGUUUCCAGAGGAAGGCUCGUCCGCUCUGGGUUAGUCGGGUCCUAAGCUGAGGCCGACAGGCGUAGGCGAUGGAUAACAGGUUGAUAUUCCUGUACCACCUAUAAUCGUUUUAAUCGAUGGGGGGACGCAGUAGGAUAGGCGAAGCGUGCGAUUGGAUUGCACGUCUAAGCAGUAAGGCUGAGUAUUAGGCAAAUCCGGUACUCGUUAAGGCUGAGC